AGACGGACCCGGCGGGAGAGGAGGAAGCCGGGUUGUGGGCGCGGAGCUGAGGCGGAGGCGGGGCCGGGGCGGGAAGGGGCGGCCCCAGCUGGGUCGGGCGAGGCUGGCUGCGGGAAACCGAGUGAGCCCUCGCUUUUCCUCCGGGGUCCGCGCGCGGGACCCUAUUUCUGGCCUGUCUCGCGCUUCGCCUGCGCGGUGGUCUCCACGCUGGGACUGCGGCGUCCUCGCAGAACAGCCAGAACUCCACUUCUUCCUGUCCGGGAGGAGUUGUUUAAAACAUGCGUAUCUCCACCUUCUGCUUCUUAGAACAGAACUGACUGAAGCCGUGUUCUUCCCGCCGAGACCAUGCCGCCCCAUCGACCCUGCUGCGGCCAGAGCCACCCAGGGCGGGCCCACUCACCGCAGGCUCGGGCCACUUGGUUCCAAACCUCCACUCCCAUCCAGGGGCCCGGCACACCCACCACACUCCCACUCUCAGAGGUCUUUGCCGCCUGCUUCAGGAGAAAAGAGAAACUUCCACUUUCCACCGGCAAAACUGCACACCUGCUCCCUCCAUCACCGAGCCCCCCCCCCCACCUUCUGUUUUUCCAGUAUCGCAGAAUCCGAUCCGUUGCUCCCUCUGGACUGGAAUCCGUAUCCUCGGCAUUUCAUCAUUCCAAGAUUCUCUACUCCACGUACCCUUGCUGCCACCCUCUUCUACUUUCCAUCGCUGAAGUUGGUGAAAGAGGCGCCUGCCCCCAGUUUUGUGGUCUCUCAACUCCACGUGUUCGUUUUCACACUCGGUGAAAUUGCCUUUUUAAUUGUCGCAAGUAGCAUCCACAUCACUAAAGUCAAAGGACACUCUCCUUUCUCGUGUUAACUGAUCUGAGCAAAAUUCCUUCUUUCUCCUUAAAACACGUCUUCCUGUGGCGGGGGUGCUCCACUUUCCUGUCUGUCCCCAGUCUUGGCGUGCUUGUCUACUCUGGGUGACCACCAAAUAACAGAGUUUUCAAGGUCUCAGACCUUUCCUCUUACUCCACAAUUUUUCCCUGAAUGAUUUAACCUGCUGUCAACAUUUAAAUCAAUAUAUCCCAAAUUUGCAACUCUAAUCUUUGCUCCUCUGAGCUCCAAAUCCGUUUAUCUAGCUUCCUAUUCAGCUACUCCUGGUAACAAGCACCUCAAAUGGAACCCAUCCAAAACUGAAUGCGUCCUUUCCCUGCUUGCUUUCAACUCCCUGUCUCCCUGUGAUAGUGAAGACACCACUAUCCAGUGUUUCCCAAACUCUGCCUUCACCUCGGCAUCUAACAAAUCGCCAAGAUUCUACUUCCUAAAUAACUCUGAAGUCUGUCCACUUCCUACCAUUUCCAGUAUUACGUAUCAUAAUGUGCUUACUGCACGUGCGUUUUCCCGGCCCACACUCAGUGAUGUCUCGUUGGUAGACUGUAAUGGGCCAUGGUCGAAGUAUUUACACCAUGGAAAUUAGCCAACAUUAUGAAUCAUGAAUCAGGGAUCGAUUUGUUUUGCUGAUUGUCUCUAGACUUCAGAAAGUGAUGGGGAAGAUGUUAAUAAUGUAGAUUAAACUUAAAAAUGUGUUUAGUGCUGAAACAAGAUUGCAGUUUAAUGAGUUUAUACAAGGGUAAGAAGUAGUUUAACAGAUCACAUAUCAGAUUUAAGGACAAUAAAUUUGUUGGCAAAAAGUGGAUCGGUAUGUAAUUUCACUAGUCACAUCAUGGUUGAGUUACAAGCAUUGGAUGGAUUCAGAUACAAGCCUUUGGCAAAAAAGAAGCAAAGCUUUCUGUGAGAAUCAGUCAAGUAGAUAGAACUGACAAUAAAGAGUGUCUGCCUUUUA
ensembl:lncRNA novel transcript, antisense to TMTC4